GUAAGUGAAGGCCCAGUAGAGGGCGCUGGAGGAUCAGAGAAAGAGCACCAACCAGCCUUCCUGAAGCACUGAGAUGGGGGAUAAGUCAGUUUUCAGGGAAAUCAGAGAAGCUAGGUAUACAUCUGAGGACUCCAAAGGCAGGAGGCCCUGGCUCUGAUGCUUCUAAGGCAGAUGAAUUGGGUGCCAGUGGUGGGGGCGAGCAUGCAUUGGAGUGUUCCUUGUGGGCCAGAGGUGAGCCCCAAAGGAGAGAGCUGUUCUGGGGCCAUUCAAAUUCUGUCCAAGAGGUCUCUGCAAGAGAGCUGGAAGGACCACACAUGAGCAGCCUGUCUGAGAAAAAUCUGUUGCUGCUGUCUAGGAGCACGGACUAUUCUCUCAUGUUGAAUGUGGCACUUUUUACAUACAAGCAGGAGAGCAACUACACCAAGAUUUUGGAAAACAUGUUAUGUAAGGUUAAUUGUGACCUCUAUGAUGGGGAUAUGAUAAAGAAGAAAAGUACCUCACAGCGAUGAUUGGCAUGUGAUCACUUAGCCAAUGAGAUAAGAGGCUGUAGAAACGAUGUGAUAAUGACAUCUCCUGAGUUGCAGGUCCAUAUUAGAAGUGGAUAUGAAGUAAACAUUGAGCUUUCCUCACAUUUAAUUAACAAGCUUUAUUAUAGAUACAGCUCAAAUUAGUUAAUUCAGGAAGCUUAUUUUGUAGAAAUUAAAACAUUAAUAAACACAUACAUUUAGAAAUAAAGAACUCGGCUGACCCUUUGACUCUUUGAAACAAGUGGCCUUCCAUGCUGUGAAAGAUUGUAGCCACUCUUUGAGACAUUGGAAUGGUGUCCAUUGCAUUUUAUCAAGUUAACUAUAGGUCAGCCUGGGAAAUCUGAAGUUUCCUUAUCUCCUGUCACUGUGGUUGCUGUGAGAUUUUGUGUCAUCACUGUGCUGUCUUCCCUCUCCACAUGAAGGUGAGCUGUCUGGCUUCACUCUAACGUUUGUGAUUUCACGCCCGACCUGAUUGUUGCCAAGCAAUUCCUUUGUUUGGAGAAUUCUGUGCUUUGUUUAGAAUUUUUUAAAGGUUCUUUUCCUGUGGUCAGAUUUCUGUUUGCUACUGUGUCUUAUGCCUUGUUCUCCUACAGAGAAGAUUCUUUGAAGUUAGUGGAAGCUCAGCUUAAAGGAAGAUCUACUGCUCUGUGUGGUGGAUGACCAUGGGGGAGCGAGAAGGCAGCCUCCGGCUUUUGUUUUGUGUGUGUGUGUGUGUGUGUGUGUGUGUGAUGUACCUGGAAAAAUAACACGACUAGGAUUAAAGAGUAUGUUUGGCAUGUUUAAAAUAAAUUGUAAACCAAACGUAUUUUAAAGAAUUUAUACAAAUUUGUCAUUUAGUAAAAUGAAUGACUAUUGAGUAUUCAUGUCAAUAAAACAACCACUUGAAUACAACAA
rnacentral:lncRNA from 1 species